AGCACGUCGGAACCUGCAAAAAGUCAAGUUACAGAACAUUUCUGGUGGGCAAAAAUGCAGUGUCAAGUCACCAUUAAGGAACUGUCAGAAACAGCAGGCUAACAGCAACGGCCACCGAUCAAGAGAUAGAAUUCUUUAUAAAAAAAAAUGGCUUCACCUUGCAUGUGACCGAGAUGGAGGGAGAAGAGAAAGAUAGAAACGAAAGAGUGUCCAAGAAACCUGCCUGCAAGAUUGCCAUGAUGCUGAUGGGCCCAGUCAAGGAGGUCAAUAAAUCCUAUAAGUUUGGAUUGUUCCUGUUGCCAAGGUGACAGUGUUCACUACUACAACGUCGGACAAGUUUGUUUUUGGAUGAGCUAAC